UCAGGAUGAACGCUAGCUACAGGCUAACACAUGCAAGUCGAGGGGCAGCAUUGGGAUAGCUUGCUAUUCAGAUGGCGACCGGCGCACGGGUGAGUAACGCGUAUCCAACCUUCCUGCCAGUAGGGAACAGCCCGGCGAAAGUCGGAUUAAUGCCCUAUGUUCUUCAAUGCGGACAUCUAAGUUGAAGGAAAGAUUCAUCGCUGGCAGAUGGGGAUGCGUCCGAUUAGCUUGCCGGCGGGUAACGGCCCACCGGGGCGACGAUCGGUAGGGGUUCUGAGAGGAAGGUCCCCCACACUGGUACUGAGACACGGACCAGACUCCUACGGGAGGCAGCAGUGAGGAAUAUUGGUCAAUGGGCGUAAGCCUGAACCAGCCAAGUAGCGUGCAAGGAUGACGGCCCUACGGGUUGUAAACUGCUUUUAUGCGGGGAUAAAGUGCGGCACGUGUGCCGCUUUGCAGGUACCGCAUGAAUAAGGACCGGCUAAUUCCGUGCCAGCCGCGGC
rnacentral:rRNA from 1 species